CACCUUAAAACUAGUCAAAUUUUUAAAAGCAAAAAUAAAACAUAAAUACCCCCCAACACAUCAUCAAGACAAAACAAAACAUUCUACCCCCUAAGUACGGGAGACAGAAAAGGAAAUAAGAACUAUAAAGAAAGUACCGCAAGGGAAAGUUGAAAAAGAAAUGAAAAAACUCAGCUAAGUAACACAAAGCAGAAAUUAAGCCUCGUACCUUUUGCAUUAUGAUUUAGCCAGUAAAAUUUAAGCAAAAAGAAUUUAAGUUUAAAACCCCGAAACCAAGUGAGCUACUCCAGGACAGCCUGUAUACAGGGCCAACCCGUAUCUGUGGCAAUAGAGUGGGAAGAGCCUCGAGUAGAAGCGACAAACUAAACGAACUUGGUUAUAGCUGGUUGCCUGAGAAAAGAAUAGAAGUUCAGCCUAAUGUUUUAUUUACCCAAGUUUGUAAAACCCACAAAGCAAAAGAUUAAGACAUAUGAGUUAGUCAAAAGGGGUACAGCUCUUUUGACCUAAGAAACAACUUUUUAAGAAGGUUAAAGAUCAAAAUACACAAGGCAUCUGCCCUGGUGGGCCUAAUAGCAGCCACCCAAGAGAAAAGCGUUAUAGCUUAAGCAACAACCUGCCACAAAUCCCGAUAACCCCUCUUAAACCGCUAGAAUUAUCAGGCCAUUCCAUAAAUAUGGAAAUGAUUAUGCUAAUAUGAGUAAUAAGAGAGCCAAGACUCUCUCUUAACACACGUGUACAUCGGAACGAACCCCCGCCGAAAAUUAACGCCCCCAAUUAAAGAGGGUAAUGCAUAACAAACAAAGAACAAGAAAACCAACCAACAAAUCAAACGUUAACCCUACACUGGUGUGUUCAACCAAGAAAGACUAAAAAGAGAAGAAGGAACUCGGCAAACUAAAUACGCCCCGCCUGUUUACCAAAAACAUCGCCUCUUGCACAACAUAGUAUAAGAGGUCCCGCCUGCCCUGUGACCACAAGUUUAACGGCCGCGGUAUUUUGACCGUGCAAAGGUAGCGCAAUCACUUGUCUUUUAAAUGAAGACCUGUAUGAAUGGCACAACGAGGGCUUAACUGUCUCCUUCCCUUAGUCAAUGAAACUGAUCUGCCCGUGCAGAAGCGGACAUGAAGACAUAAGACGAGAAGACCCUAUGGAGCUUUUAGACGCACAAGAGGACCGAGUUAAGAACCUACUUCACCAGAACAAACUAAACGGAGCCCGCUUGAAUGUCUUUGGUUGGGGCGACCGCGGGGAAACACACAACCCCCACGUAAGAGAAGACAACACCUUUAUAACCAAGAACAGCAGUUCAAAGUAUCAAAACAUUUGACCUUAAGAUCCGGCAAAGCCGAUCAACGAACCAAGUUACCCUAGGGAUAACAGCGCAAUCCCCUUUUAGAGUCCAUAUCAACAAGGGGGUUUACGACCUCGAUGUUGGAUCAGGACAUCCUAAUGGUGCAGCCGCUAUUAAGGGUUCGUUUGUUCAACGAUUAAAGUCCUACGUGAUCUGAGUUCAGACCGGAGUAAUCCAGGUCAGUUUCUAUCUAUGAAGCAACCUUCUCCAGUACGAAAGGACCGAGAAGCAAAGGCCCAUUCUAACAGAAUGCCUUUCUCUUACCUGUUGAAACCUAUAAAACAGCCAAAAGAGUGCCCACUCAAGGCCGAAGAUCAAGGCAU
rnacentral:rRNA from 1 species